UGGGAGGUUCCUUCUUUUUAGAGUGGAGAGGCGUGGUUUCCUGCUGGCUGGAGGUCGACACACCUGCACCUCAUUUCCCAUCAUCACUCUUUUUAAGCCGGAGCAGGGCUUGACUUUGACGCUGGAUUGUCUACCUUCAGUGAUACUCACCUGGGUACAGGAUCACUUCUCCAGCCAGAAACCUGCCAGCCACGCCGCUCUGCCUCCACUCUUCAAAACUAACCUGAUUGCUUUUGGACUUACCUGGUGUUGAUUGUUCUAAUUAAAUUUACCUUGAACUGCCAUCA